GAUACUCCUUGUUGUUGUUGUUGUUUAGAGUGUUGGUAUUGUAGCGUAGAUACUCCUUGUUGUUUAGUGUGUUGGUGUCCUUGACCUCUAUGUACAUAACGCCUCAGUAAAGUGUGACAGGAUGAAAUCUCAGAAGGUCCGUAGGAGACCCGAGUCCUGCCACGCCUAUCACCCUCAGGAAAACGCCAAGGAGUGUGGAGAUGCAUCACAGAUCUACCUGUCUGUCUCUCUCUUCCUCACCUGUCUGACUGCCUCCUUCGCCUGUCUCAAGGCCUCCACGCUGGUCUUCCGAUGAUAGACAGACAGCUACUGAACCUAAACCCCACCCCCCUCUGAAAAUCUCCCUGGAAUAUUCCAGAAUGCCUGAACUUAGCAUGCCUGCUACUGCUUGUGUUAUCUUUAUCAAUCUAUAUGACAGAAUGACUAAAAUUACGAUACUGAUCAUUUGGGCUGUUGGACUGAGAGGAAUAUGGCAGCUGUUAACUGACUCUAUGCUUGAUGACUUUACUAUCACAGAGAGAUGUUGACUUCAGAUGCUUGAUGACUUUACAAUCACAGAGAGAUGUUGACUGACUCCAUGCUUGAUGACUUUACUAUCACAGAGAGAUGUUGACUUCAGAUGCUUGAUGACUUUACAAUCACAGAGAGCUGUUGACUUCAGAUGCUUGACGACUUUACAAUCACAGAGAGAUGUUGACUGACUCCAUGCUUGAUGACUUUACAAUCACAGAGAGCUGUUGACUUCAGAUGCUUGAUGACUUUACAAUCACAGAGAGAUGUUGACUGACUCCAUGCUUGAUGACUUUACAAUCACAGAGAGCUGUUAACUGACACCAUGCUUGAUGACUUUACAAUCACAGAGAGCUGUUAACUGACUCCAUGCUUGAUGACUUUACAAUCACAGAGAGCUGUUGACUGACUCCAUGCUUGAUGACUUUACAAUCACAGAGAGCUGUUGACUGACUCCAUGCUUGAUGACUUUACAAUCACAGAGAGCUGUUAACUGACUCCAUGCUUGAUGACUUUACAAUCACAGAGAGCUGUUGACUUCCGUUGCUUGAUGACUUUCAAACACAACCACCAAAGUUGUGCUUCUUUGGACAACUGUUCUAAAACCAUGAAAGGGCAUUUUGGUUUCUUCUUCUUCAGUGUCUUAUAAGAGAACAUUAUAGUGUUUCUAUGCAAAAGGAAACAUACUUUCUUUGACCGUGGAAAGUUCCAGUAUCUCCAAUACUAUUCCAAAGGACUUGACUUUGCAAUAGGACCAUGGAAGACUAUCAGUCUGUGGAUGAUGUGUUUUAUAAAUGGUUUUGAUAAAAUAAUACUCUGGAUUCAUGCAUGUGUAUGUCUGUUUACCUUAAGCCAUGAAAUGGAGGAUGAACCUUGGAUAAGGCAGAGGCAUCUUUGAACAGUGAUACAAUUCAGAUCGUGGAGUCAGUGACCUCUGCUGGUUGGAAUAUGACAUUGCAGGAUGGUGAUGAAUCAAGUGGAGACUGGCUGGCUGCUGAAGGAUGGAUGAACACAAUGGACUCAACUUCCACAUUGUUCUGUUCAUAACUCAUCAGUCUUUGGUCUACGCUCCACAAACACAUCAAGUAUCUACUAUUAAAUGUGGGCUGGGUUUUCACUGUUGGAAAUGGAUGGACUGUUUCAGGAAAAACCUUCAAGUCACAUAUCAUAUAUGCAAUCUAAGACUUACUAAACCAGUCGACUUAGUUGGCUUACUGCAAAACAAGAACCAUUACUGACCACCUACUUCUGUGUUGGACUACAAGGUGAAACAGCCAUUCUGUUAGAAGGAACAACAUUACAAUGUGAUGGACUACAAGGUGAAACAGCCAUUCUGUUAGAAG